rnacentral:rRNA from 1 species
GACGAACGCUGGCGGCGUGCUUAACACAUGCAAGUCGUACGGUAAGGCCCUUUCGGGGGUCCACGAGUGGCGAACGGGUGCGUAACACGUGAGUAACCUGCCCACAACUUUGGGAUAACGCUAGGAAACUGGUGCUAAUACUGGAUAUGUGCUCCUGCUGCAUGGUGGGGGUUGGAAAGCUCCGGCGGUUGUGGAUGGACUCGCGGCCUAUCAGCUUGUUGGUGGGGUAGUGGCCUACCAAGGCGGCGACGGGUAGCCGGCCUGAGAGGGUGACCGGCCACAUUGGGACUGAGAGACGGCCCAGACUCCUACGGGAGGCAGCAGUGGGGAAUAUUGCACCAUGGGCGCAAGCCUGAUGCAGCAGCGCCGCGUGCGGGAUGACGGCCUUCGGGUUGUAGACCGCUUUCAGCAGGGACGAAGCUUUUUGUGACGGUACCUUCAGAAGAAGCACCGGCUAACUACGUG